UCUCUCCUCUCCCUCGUCUCACAGUGUAAACUCUUCCGCCACAAACUUUAAGUUUAAGGAAGCAAAAUGAGUUUGUGGUAUAUCAUUGUUGCAUUCGUAUUCUUUGCUUCUCUACUCAUUGGGAAGAAGACGAAAUGU